rnacentral:rRNA from 1 species
AUUGAACGCUGGCGGCAGGCUUAACACAUGCAAGUCGAGCGGGGUGAUGGUGCUUGCACUAUCACUUAGCGGCGGACGGGUGAGUAAUGCUUAGGAAUCUGCCUAUUAGUGGGGGACAACAUCUCGAAGGGGAUGCUAAUACCGCAUACGUCCUACGGGAGAAAGCAGGGGAUCACUUGUGACCUUGCGCUAAUAGAUGAGCCUAAGUCGGAUUAGCUAGUUGGUGGGGUAAAGGCCUACCAAGGCGACGAUCUGUAGCGGGUCUGAGAGGAUGAUCCGCCACACUGGGACUGGGAAACGGCCCAGACUCCGACGGGAGGCAGCAGUGGGGAAUAUUGGACAAUGGGGGGAACCCUGAUCCAGCCAUGCCGCGUGUGUGAAGAAGGCCUUAUGGUUGUAAAGCACUUUAAGCGAGGAGGAGGCUCUUUUGGUUAAUACCCAAGAUGAGUGGACGUUACUCGCAGAAUAAGCACCGGCUAACUCUGCGCCAGCCGCCGCGGUAA